AGAACAUGCACUUCUAAACCCAAUCUAAUAUUAUAUUACAACAUGCUACCUAAUGUUCUCCAAACUAAACUAAACCUGUGCUGGAUUUAUUCUUUCCCUAAAACUGAUUCAAGAAGAGCAGCCUCCUCCUCCACCAGUGCAUUAAAUUCAGUCUCUUCGUCAAUGGCACUGAUAAUUGCUGGGUCCUCCAACAGCUCAUCAUCAGCAAUUGUUAGUUGGCCAAGCUUGUCCUUAAUAGCAACAAAAAGAAGUGGAUCGGAUGGCGUAUAAAUCAUGUAAUGUGCUCCAUUCAUAUGAAAGCAAGUGAUCUCUAUACCCUCAUUAGGCAAGCCAUCUACAUCCUGUCCAUCAUCUGUGCGGAAAUCAAAGAUGUCGUCUUCUGAAUAGCA
rnacentral:misc_RNA from 1 species